UAAAUUCGAUUUAGGCACGGCACUCUCGAGAGGAUAUAAAUCAGUACAUGGUUGUUUAUUUAUAGUGUACGAGUGAAUCGUAAACCGUAUAUUACACCACUCCCGGAGCCCCGCCGGCGCAAAUAGCCUCGGAUUAUCUCCAUGCUUCCAGAUACCAGCACAGGUAUGCACUCAGAGAGAAAAAGCUCCUUUUUAAUUGAACAAGCUCCUUAUCGCGACUGAAAUUUCACGUCAUCUGCGACAGCGCUAUAAUCGUCGGAUGACUACGCGCAUCUAUAUCAGUAAAAUAAACACUCGAUGUUUUUUUAAUGAAGACCCCAAAAUAACACUAACAAUGAGUGGGCUCGGAAAAUAAAAAGAAAUCUCUUUCAUUGGGUUAAAAUGUGUGACAAGUGAUUUACAUUUAGCGACGCCGCGCGACAUCCCAAUUAAUUGAUAGCGCUCGGGUGAAACAAAACGCGGACACUGUUGUUUCUGAAACCAGAAUUCUCCUCAGUCGUCUGUGCGCAGUGACAGUGGAAACGUCUCCGGUCCUCCAGCCCCCUCCAGAACACAAUGCCUGCUUCAGAGUCCCUCAACUUGAUGGCCACUUACGGCAUCCUUCUGCUGCUUCUGCUGUCUCUUUGGGCGUUUUACUCUGCAUUCUAAAUAUGGGUAGCUGAAGAAGCAGCUCUACACCAGAAGACCAAAUGGAGAAAUAAUAGCCAACUCUGUUGCACCUAGAUAAUAAGAAACCGUAAUUUUAGUAUGUAAGUUAAAUUUAAGUUCGCGUUACCGUCAAGCAUUUAAAAGUAACGGAAGGCCAAAACUGUUCAAAGAAAAUGUUCGAGAAUUUUAAAUUUAAAGCAGCCUUGCUUUACUGGAAGAUUUCAUUCAAUUCGUAAAUUAUUAAAAGCUAUCCUAUGCUGAGUUUGCUGCGCAUUCCAAAUAUAAAUCAAAAUAAAAGUUAUCUACUAUGUGAAAGACACGGGCCAAAUCUUAUCGUCUAGACCAGAAUUACUUAUUAAAAUCCAUCUUUGUUAUGUAUUUUUGUAAAUUUAUGUACUUAAAGUAAUUUUAAUUAAAGUUCCAUAAAAGUA